rnacentral:misc_RNA from 1 species
GGGACAUAAAAAAAAAGUUGAGGGGGGAAAGGGGGAAGAAAGAGGCCCCCACUGAUAGAGAAUGAUAGGGAGAUACACCAGUCCAUAAUCCAUAUGCAAUUAGUCAAGGGUAAUUCAUAUGCCUUCCCCAUCAUAAACAAUUCAUAACCUUAACAAAGUCAAAAACUUGAGUACAACCUAUACAUUUAUGAACCAUGGAAUCCCAGUUUUAACUAAGCAUGCUGUCCAGGUCAUGCUUAAUUAAUGACUUAAACUCAAUCCAAUUACAAUACUUAUCAUUGCAGAUAUCAUGUCACCAUUGAUUUGAGCAAUAUAAAGGAAAAGAAAAAUUAUAACUAAGCCAACACAUCAUUGAUACAACAAUUAGUAACUAGAGUGUGAUCAGGCAAACAAGAAAGAAAAGGAAAUUGAAGAAACACAGAUGCAAAUUUUGUGUAAUGAGAAUCAACAGGCCAGAGAUGAGAAUUCAAAAUAAAUGGUGAAAAGAGAUGAGAUUUAACACAAUAACACCUAUGCCAGCCAAACAGGAUUUUAUCUUUACAUCAAGACACAGAUCACAUAAACAAACUCCACAACAAUACAUCAGAAAAUAGACAUGUAAACUUGCAAUCUAGAAUAACUUUAUCCCCAAAAAUCAAACGUUAAUGCUAUCUUAUAUCAUUAACUUGACAAGAGUAAGUAAACAAGUGCAGUUUCAACAAAACAAUGCAAAAACACGUGCACUCACACUAAACCUAAAGAAAAUUUUGAAUGACAAUUAUUCAGGCCAGCAAAGGACAAUACCUUAAACAGACUUUCCACAGAGUAGGACGCAGUCCAGGGUAGAGGAAAGCAGCUUCAACUUUGUCAUUGGUCAAUGUAUAGCGGCCACUAAAAACAUCAUCUGCUUUAGAUGCACGGAGAUUCAUGC